UCCUCUGAUCUUAAAGCUACAGUUUGACAGCAUAGCAUGUGAAUUUUCUUCAGAACAUCGAGGUCAGACUGGUGAACAGUCUGCUGCCAAAACCCAUCAGUACUUAACCGGGUCCUCGUGCCUCCUUGACCACUCUGUGUUUCACACCUUCAUGUCUCACUGUCUUUCACCCUCCCACGCCUGGAUGCUCAGCUUCGAGAUAUUCAGGACAAGACAAAGCUUUAGUUCCCCUUUUGUCCAGGUUCCCCCCUCCCUCUGUUUCUUCACCUCACUCCCUGUAGUGGGUUGAACAGUGUGCCAACCCCCAUCCCCCAGCCCCAACCGGCAAACAUAAGUCCACUUGGAAACUGAAUGUGGCCUUAUUUGGAAAAGGGUCUUUGAGGAUGUCAUUGAGUUAAUGAUCACAAGAUGAGCUCAUCCUGGAUCGAGGCGGAUCCGAUGGCAGUGUCCCGACAAGAGAAGCUGUAGGCAGGAGGGAAGGAGAUGCAGGUGCAGAGAGAGCAGAGUGAUGCUGCCACACCAAGGAGCACCUGGGGCCCCGAGAAGAGGGAAGAGACAAGGAUGGGUUCUGCCUUCGAGCUUUUGGAGGAGGAGUGGGCCUGGCGACGCCUGACUUCAGACUUCUGACCUCCGGAACUCGGAGAGAACACAUUUCUGCGUCCUAAGCCACCAAAAUGUCGGGCUCUGUCCUUACCAGAGGACUUGGAAGAAGAAAGCCAUAGUCUUCGGAAAUGUGAAAUCUUCCUAAAGUCAAUGAUGGUGUUGUCUUCAGAUUCGGACUCUGAGGCUCCAUAAUUUUGUUUGAAGUGUCUGCACCAAAGCUGCUCCUGAAGAGACAACUGCUCCAAAGCUAUGCAGUUAUCUCGGGAACAGGGGAGAACCUUGGUCUGAGGUUGAAUUCCACACUGCCGUGGACUUUCUCCUUCACAAAGCUGAAUCUGACUGCCAGGCUGUCUGUCAAAGGUACCAUCAGGGUUUGAAUUCACUUUAAUGUGGACUGAUUGGCAGUCCUUUAAAAGAAGUUUAAAGAAGUUAAAAGAAGUUAAAGAAGUUAAAAGAAGAUGAGAAGUUCCAGGCAAUAGACCUGCACUGUGAAAAUUCCGAAAACGCUACGUUUUGCCCAGCAGACCCUUCACUUGGGUUGUAAGGUUGUAAACAAAUUUAUUUGAAAAGUAAUUUGUCUAUACACAUCUUCUCCUCCCUCCCUUUCUCUAAGAUAGAUAGAAAAACUAAGGGCAGAACAUGCUCUGAGAAUUCGCGUAAUGGUUCUCACGGAGGAUGCAACCUGGAAGGUUCGUGUGGUCAAAAGUAGCCUAAUGGAUUUAUGGUUCCUUAGCCCCUAAGAGCCGUCCUCAGUUACUCACUGCCCUCUCAGCCCAGUAACCCGACCAGUCACAAAGUUCAGUUUCUGAUGCCUCCUAAAUGCAACUUGUCAAAUUUCCUAUAUGAAGUCUUGUUUUUUCCUUCAGUCUCACAUGAGAAGAAGGCACAGGUGUUUUUGCUUCCUCUAGUCACGUUAUUUUUCAUCCGUUCCCUCUGCACCCUCUCAAGAAUUUACUGUAACAUUAUAAAGGCACGGAAUCAGAAUAUCAGAACUGAAAGUAACCUUACUCAAUAAGUGAUUUAGUUCAACACUCACAGUAAACUGGGAAAACCUGAGAUUUAUGGGAAUGAAAUGACUUAACAAAUGUCCUUAUGGGAGUUGGCAUCAGAAUUGACCUAGAACUUGGACCUGCUGCCUCUCAGCCCAGAACUUUCCCACUCAGUGCACUCAGCCAGGCGACCUGGCUGUGAAUUUCGACUCUGUUUCCUCCUUAGUUAGCGGAGUUUUUAACAAGUGGCUUAACAUUCCAAACCUAUUUCCACCUCUGCGGAAAGCGGUAAUCCCAGUGAAUAAAAGAGAAACCUUACGUAAAGCACCUAGCAGAUAGGUCACAGUAAAUGCUAUUUUUCUCCUGUUCUUUUCCCCGCAUUCUGCAAAUCUAUUUUUAAUGUCGUAUUUUUUUCUGGUUUCCUUUCCGAUUAGCCUGACUACAUCUUUUCUGUUUCAGUCGCUAACUCCUUUUCCUAGUUCAGACCGAAACAUCUAAAUAUUUGCAGCAUUAUUAUAACCCAUUUAUCUACCUCACUGUUCUUAUGGAUUUGCAUCUGAUCUUAACCAUUAAUUCUAUGCCCAGGUACCUAAGUCUGCAUCUUCAGCCUUGACCUUCCUUGCUUCCACAUUCUAGGCCCUUGGAACGUGGUGGGCCAGUGACUAUCUCAGGUCCUGCCACAAAAUCGUUCAAGAACUCCUCACUGUAAGUUAAAUAAAGCUCACAUUUCCUUGGCCUGGCAUUCAGUGUCCAUCACCUGACCUCUAAACAUCCUUCUGGUUGUGCAAAAUUCUUCUGUCCCCUUGAACCUCUUUUGACAUCAUGUUUCAAGUUCUACCUGGUUUGCUUGUUACUAACAUUCAAGCUUUGUAUUUAUCUCAUCUUUUCUAUUAGAUUGUAAGCUCCUUGGCGAAGCCGUGUUUAACUCAGCGCUGUCUUUCCUUUAGCAGCACGUCCAGUGUCUGGAGUUCCACAUAUGUUUGUUAAUCAGUCAUCUCUCAGCAUCUCAUUUUUAGAGCUGGUGUCUGGAUGCCAGGGAGCAGCUGGCGGUCUUUUCUGUUGCCCCGCCGGAGCACCAGAGACUCGCUCUGCAGUAAGGGACACAGUGGCCACGUGGAAAUUUGCUCGUCAUCUUUCUUAUUGACAAAGAGGAAGUUGGUUAGACAUAAUUGUGCCCACGAACUUCCUCUCCUAAUAGUGAGGCUUGUCGUUUCGGAGUCCUGGGUUCCAUCGCCAGGUUUCCCGCUAACUGCUGUGGUAUCAGUAUGGAAGAAGGGUUCCAUCUUUCUUAGUCUGGGUAUUAGGGUCUUUUGGAAAUGGACCAAGGAACAUUCAGAAAAGGAAAAAAAAAAACAUUCACAAUGGAAAUUUUUAGGAUAUCAUUUAAAUGUUUUCUAAGUGCCGUUUCAGGCCUACAUAGUUUUGCUUUCAGAGUGAUAAAGUCCAAAAUCUGAACUGUCAAAAGCUGCCAGCCCAAACAGUACUGGUACACUGAGGUUAUCCUUGUACUGUUCAUUAAUGACCUCUUUGUUCAUAAAUUCAAUGGGACUUUCUAGUCCCUUCUGAUUAAUUGUUCGAGCAUCUGCAGUUUUGCUUCCUUCUUUGUUUUAUUUUAUUUUUUUAAAUUUUCUUCUUGACCUCCCCUAUGUCACGUAUUCCUUCUGGUUUCAUUCUACUUAAGACUAAUAAGAAAAAACUAAUAGUUAACACUCACUGAUUUUUCCUCUGUGCCAAGGCCUGUGGUAAGCAUCUUUCAUGGAGGGUCUCAGGUAACCAUCGCAACAGCCCUGUGGGUCAGGUACCAAUAUUAUCGCCAGAAUUCAGUUGAGGAAACAGCCCCUCGGGAAGGUUGUGUCAAAGCCUAAGGUCAUACUUUCUGUGAGAGAUGCAGUCAGGACUGGAGUACUCUGACUUUAAAGCCAUCGCUCCUAACCCCUAGGGAUGGCUUCCCUUCUUCGUUUUUUCUCUCUGUCAUUGUUCUGGUUACAGUUUACCACUGGUGAUCGCCAGAGUUCAGGUCCUGGACUCCCCUCUCUUCUUACGGCGUUCCCCCUGCCUGGGCGAUCAUCUCCAUUCAGAGACUUCAGCCAUCAUGUCUAGGCUGGGGACUCCCAGCGUUUUGUUUCUAGUUGGAUCUCUCCUGUCCUCUACUAGAUAUCCUUAGCACAACCACUCUCAAGAGGCAUCUCAAGAAAUACUUACGUAACACAUCAAACAUGUACCAGACUAACCUUCCAUUAAGACAGGGGCAAAUGCUUAGAAAACCUCCAGCGACCAGCGCAAGGUCCUGAGCAGAGAGCCCACUGCCAAGCGACAGACCCAAGGCUUCCUGACCACUUACUCUCUCACGGAAAUACUGUGGUGCUACACUCAUCUGCAGUCUGUUGAAUCCAGGAUGUGGAUUUCAAAUACCAAGGAACCACGUAUGCAGUGGAACCACAUAGACAGAGGCCUGAUGGAAAGUUACAUGCGGGUUUUCCACAGUCGGGAGGGCCAGCAUCCCUACCCACUGUGUUGUUCAAGGGUCAACUGUGUUUCUUCUUUUAACGGACAAUAUUUAGGUACCUCUCUAAGUGCUGUGAUGUAAAACUAGGAAGCCAUGGGUCCUUUCUUUGGGAAACUGACAAAUGAGCAAGUGAAAUAAGACACACACAAACACACAAAAACACACAAUCACUGUAUAAGGGCAAAAGGACAUGUACUGAAAGAGAAAAAACAUCUGUGGGGACAGAGUUGAGAGAGAUUUCCUCUAAGUUAAUCCUCUAGUUGGGCUGCGGCAAUGGCCUAAAAUAGUGGGUCUCAAAUAGAAAUGGGUGGGUGGGAAGUGGUGCUGUUGGCGUGAUCUUUGGGGAUCUUCCCAGGUUCCGUGAGGCAUUGACCAUUCUUGGAGAAUUAUAUGGUCUGGUCUGGUAUGUAUGGUCUUCAAAAGACAAAUUAUCCCGGUACUUUCCUUUUCUCAUUCACUCUGCCUCCCGCGCUAAUUAAAAUCAACAUAAAAACAGAAAAAUAGUUCCUAUUUUUACUUACUGACCAUGUUGUAAAUAGGAAACAAGGCCAUUGAGGGAAAACCCAUUGUAAACAUCUAAAAAUGUUAAAUAUGUUAGAAAAGCUAUUAAAUCAAAAUCAUUGUCUUUAUGAUCUGGAAGAAAUUUAAGGGCUAUUCUGCUUUUCAGCACACGUUGACAUUUUGUUGUUUGAAAUUUCCAUUGGUUCACAUGGCCAACCAGUUGACUUUUUAUGGAUUCAUUUUCAGAUCACACAUAGGAUUGAAUCAUAGUGUUGGGAGGUGCCUUAGUCUGUUUAUCUAUGAUCAUUUUUGAUGUGCAAAAAUAAAUCAUAGAGGUUAAGUGAAUUA